AUUGAACGCUGGCGGCAUGCCUUACACAUGCAAGUCGGACGGUAACGGGCCUUCGGGUGCCGACGAGUGGCGAACGGGUGAGUAAUAUAUCGGAACGUACCUUUCAGUGGGGGAUAACGUAGCGAAAGUUACGCUAAUACCGCAUAUUCUGUGCGCAGGAAAGCAGGGGACCUUCGGGCCUUGCGCUGAUUGAGCGGCCGAUAUCAGAUUAGCUAGUUGGUGAGGUAAAGGCUCACCAAGGCGACGAUCUGUAGCGGGUCUGAGAGGAUGAUCCGCCACACUGGAACUGAGACACGGUCCAGACUCCUACGGGAGGCAGCAGUGGGGAAUUUUGGACAAUGGGGGCAACCCUGAUCCAGCCAUGCCGCGUGAGCGAAGAAGGCCUUCGGGUUGUAAAGCUCUUUCGGCCGGGAAGAAAUCGUAUCAGCUAAUACCUGGUGCGGAUGACGGUACCGGCAUAAGAAGCACCGGCUAACUACGUGCCAGCCGCCGCAGUAAUAC
rnacentral:rRNA from 1 species